GGUGCAGCAGGCGCGAAAACUUUACAAUGCUGGAAACAGCGAUAGGGGGACUUUGAGUGCCAGGAUACAAUUCUGGCUGUCGUCGUGCCUAAAAAGCACGGCAUAGCAAGGGCCGGGCAAGACCGGUGCCAGCCGCCGCGGUAACACCGGCGGCUCGAGUGGUAACCGCUAUUAUUGGGUCUAAAGGGUCUGUAGCCGGCUGAAAAAGUCUCUUGGGAAAUCUGGCUGCUCAACAGUCAGGCUAUCAGGAGAUACUCUUCGGCUCGAGACCGGGAGAGGUGAGAGGUACUUCAUGGGUAGGGGUGAAAUCUUGUAAUCCUUGAAGGACCACCAGUGGCGAAGGCGUCUCACCAGAACGGAUCUGACGGCAAGGGACGAAAGCUAGGGGCACGAACCGGAUUAGAUACCCCGGUAGU
rnacentral:rRNA from 1 species